UUCCUAUUUGCUUAUAAAAUAAUAGGUAGGCCCUGCCCCAUGAAAUUUAAAUGGCCGCAUAUGUGCUAAGGUAGCAAAAUCAAUUGCCACUUAAUUAGUGGCUGGUAUGAAUGGGUUAACAAAUAAACUCCUGUCUCCCUUUUGCAAUUAAAAUCUAACCUCCAAGUGAAAAGGCAAGGAUUACAAUAAAAGACAAAAAGACCCUGUCGCGCUUAAGAUUUAAAAUAUUAUUAUUUAUCUAAAUCUUUAGUUGGGAUGACUUCUGAUAAAUAUAACACCAGAUAUUUUUAUGAAUAAAAAUUCUUUACAUUGACCCUACUAAGAUCAAGUGAAAAAGCAACCGCAGGGAUAACAGACUAAUUUUCUUACUAGAGCCCAUAUCGACUAAGAAGGUUGGCACCUCGAUGUUGGCUUAGGGGAGCAGCCAGAUGCAGCAAUCUGGCCUGGAGGUUUGUUCAACCUAUAAAUCCCU
rnacentral:rRNA from 1 species